UUUUUUUUUUUUUUCUUAUAAAAGAAAUUUUCUUCCAUCUUUUGAAUUUUCUGGACACGGCCCCAAAAUGUGUCAUGGCUAUGUCCUGCUGUUUACAUCUCAGAAACGUUUCCGAUACGGGGAAUCUGGCGUUUCCCUGCUUCACUGGUUAUGGAGAAUGCAUUUCUUAAAGAUAUAUUUAUUUUUUAAAGACUUUUGAUAAUGGAAUUAUAAGCAUCUUGAUAUCCACUUUAAGACAUGUAUGCCCAGUGAAUGUUUCUUUUGAAUGCUUAUUUCUUCUCAUUUCUUGCCUAAACAUCUGUAAUGGAUGCUGCUCAAUGAUCAUUUAUUACGGUUGAUAUUUGUUGGAAGGCUUCAGUUGAGUGGUGUUAGGAUGUACAUGUAAACGCCAUUGUAAGUUGUAACCAAAUUCUGUUUUUAACGAUAUGAAAGGAAAGAUUUUGUUUAAUUUUGUUGAGUGCUGGUAUUAGAAUAUUUAACUUGUUGACAUCGACUUCCUUCUAUGCUUUGCUUGGUUAAGCAUGGUUCGAUUGAUUUUGGUUUUGAUUUUUCUCCUUGUCUAUUACUUGCAAUCACAUCUUGCUUGAAAGUAAUUUUUGCGUUAAUGGUUUUUGGACCUUCAUGUAGUUUUCUAAGGCGGCAGGACGAAU
rnacentral:misc_RNA from 1 species